GACCUAAAAGAUGGUGAACUAUGUCUGGGCAGGGUGAAGCCAGAGAAAACUCUGGUGGAGGUCCUUAGCGGUCUUGAUGUGCAAAUCAGUCAUCCAACCUGGGUAUAGAGACAAAAGACUAAUCAAAUCAUCUAGUAGCUGG
rnacentral:ncRNA from 1 species